rnacentral:misc_RNA from 1 species
GAUGAAGAACGUAGCAAAAUGCGAUAAGUAAUGUGAAUUGCAGAAUUCAGUGAAUCAUCGAAUCUUUGAACGCUCAUUGCGUCCGCCAGUAUUCUGGCGGGCAUGCCUGUUCGAGCGUCAUUUCAACCCUCAAGCACAGCUUGGUGUUGGGACUCGCGUUAAUUCGCGUUCCCCAAAUUGAUUGGCGGUCACGUCGAGCUUCCAUAGCGUAGUAGUAAAACCCUCGUUACUGGUAAUCGUCGCGGCCACGCCGUUAAACCCCAACUUCUGAAUGUUGACCUCGGAUCAGGUAGGAAUACCCGCUGAACUUAAGCAUAUCAAUAAGCGGAGGA